CAGCCACAAGAGUUGUUUUUAGCCAGAUGAACUUGACAAGGCAGAGAGGGAACGGCUAAUACCUCAAGCCAGUGAUAGCCACAUCACACUCCGUUCUUGACUCACAGCGGUUCCCCGGGACCUUCACUAUUAAUGCCAGUGUGCCCACUCAAGACCCCAGCACACACCAGGGGAGCUUCCAGCGGGAGCUGUGGAAGUCAGCCCGAGAGCCUGGUGAUGCUACUAGGCAAGACUAAAGCACCUGAUCUCCAGCCAGUCCCAGGAGACACACUGGCCUUGCUCAGCUCCGGAAGGACUCCCAGGUCAAGUCCCUGUACUCUGUUAUUCUCCGUAUACUCCAUCCCGGUCAGUGAUGUGAAAUACAAGCUCCCGCUGGACCACGGUUGGUGCAUCCACAUCCAGAGGACACAGGCAAGACUUUUCUUCUGUUAGUUUGCCUAUCAGCUUGGAGCAGGGAUUUCCUCAGUGGGCUCUGAGCCCCCCCCCCCAGAGGCCCCUGGGAGCCUUUCAAGGGACCUGCAAAGUCAAAACUAUUUUCAUAAUAAGACAAAGACAUUCAUUGUGUGAUAUAAUUAGGAUGCUUGUGUUUUGUUUUUGCCUUCCCUCCUAAGUACACAGAGGUGUUUUCUGAAAACCACUGUGUGCUAUUUGCAACACAGGGAAAGUAGCAGCUGGUUUAAGGCAUGCCUUCCACAAACCUGAUAUUAAAGAGGAUUACAGUCAUUUCUUACUAGUGUUCCUUGUUUAAAAAGAUAGAGGUGGGACACUAAUUUAUUGCUGGGGGGAAUGCAAACCUGCCCAGCUACUGUGGAAAUCACCGUGGCAGUUCCUCAGGAAGCCAAGAAUAGAUCUACCUCAAGAUCCAGCUAUACCACUCUUGGGCAUAUCUCGAGGAUUCCGUGUCUUACUACUGAGAUAUUUGUUCAUCCAUAUUCAUUGCCGCAUUAUUCAUAAUAGCCAGACAUUGGGAGCAACCUAGACAUCCACCAACUGAUAGCUGAACAACGAUCUGUGGUCCAUUACACAAUAGAAUGUAAUUCAGCUGUUCUGAAAAUGAAAUUGUAAGGUUUGCAGAUAAAUGGAUGGGACUAGAAAUGGCCAUCCUGAGUGAUGUAACCCAGACCCCAGAAGACAAACAUAGUAUGUGUUUCUCUUAUAUGUGGACGUUAGCUUUUAAGCUUUCUCAUUUUUUAUUAGAUAUUUU